UGCACACACCGCCCGUCACACCAUGGGAGUUGAUUGCUCCAGAAGUAGCUAGCUUAACCUUUCGGGGAUGGCGGUUACCACGGAGUGGUCAAUGACUGGGGUGAAGUCGUAACAAGGUAGCCCUAGGGGAACCUGGGGCUGGAUCACCUCCUU
rnacentral:rRNA from 1 species